GACGAACGCUGGCGGCGUGCUUAACACAUGCAAGUCGAACGGAAAGGCCCUUCUUUUUUGGGUUGCUCGAGUGGCGAACGGGAGAGUAACACGUGAGUAACCUGCCCUUGCCUUUUGUUUUACUUCACGACAUUGGGGCUAAUCCCGUAUAGGAUCUCCUGCUUCUUUGUGGGGGUUGGAAUGUUUCGGCGGUUGGGUCUGUGCUCGCGGCUUUUCAGCCUUUUGGGGGGGUAGUGGCUUAACAAGGCUUUGAAGGGUAGCCGGCCUGAGAGGGUGACCGGCAACAUUGGGACUGAGAUACGGCGCAGAAUCCUACGGGAGGGAGCAGUGGGGAAUAUUGCAAAGUGGGCGGGAGCCGGAUGCAGCAACGCCGCGUGCGGGAUGAAGGCCUUCGGGUUGUAAACCGCUUUCGCCUGUGACGAAGCGUGAGUGACGGUAAUGGGUAAAGAAGCACCGGCUAACUACGUG
rnacentral:rRNA from 1 species